rnacentral:rRNA from 1 species
AUUGAACGCUGGCGGCAUGCUUUACACAUGCAAGUCGAACGGUAGAGGGGCAACCCUUGAGAGUGGCGAACGGGUGAGUAAUGCAUCGGAACGUGCCCAGUAGUGGGGGAUAGCCCGGCGAAAGCCGGAUUAAUACCGCAUGAGACCUGAGGGUGAAAGCGGGGGAUCGCAAGACCUCGCGCUAUUGGAGCGGCCGAUGUCAGAUUAGCUAGUUGGUGGGGUAAAGGCCUACCAAGGCGACGAUCUGUAGCUGGUCUGAGAGGACGACCAGCCACACUGGGACUGAGACACGGCCCAGACUCCUACGGGAGGCAGCAGUGGGGAAUUUUGGACAAGGGGCGCAAGCCUGAUCCAGCCAUGCCGCGUGCGGGAAGAAGGCCUUCGGGUUGUAAACCGCUUUUGUCAGGGAAGAAAUCUUCUGGGCUAAUACCCUGGGAGGAUGACGGUACCUGAGGAAUAAGCACCGGCUAACUACGUGCCAGCCGCCGCCGUAAGAC